GGGGCUGAUUUUGGAUUCGACAGGAUUCGAGAAGCUUUAGGUGCAUGCAGAGGUGCGGUUGGCCUCUUUAAAAAGCCGCAAUUAAAUAGUCGCAAACGACGAAAACUUCGCACUAGCAGCUUAAUAACCUGUAUAGGCCCUUCCACUUCAGCCGUCGUCUAUUCGUGAAGGUUUGGAAGGUCAUACUAAUAGACUAGCGAGGGAAACUUGUCUGAGGUUGAACCGCGAAAUAGUAUCAGGCCAGCUAUAAGGAAAUCCUGUUUGUCGGAGUUCCAAGUAGUUAAAUAAAAGACAAAAUAAGCAUGUAGUACCGACGGCAGACGCUUUCUGGACGCGGGUUCAACUCCCGCCAGCUCCACCA
rnacentral:tmRNA from 1 species